rnacentral:rRNA from 1 species
CCCUGCUCAAUGCUAUAUUAAAUAGCCGCAGUACUUUGACUGUGCAAAGGUAGCAUAAUCAUUUGGCUUAUAAUUGAAGUCUGGAAUGAAUGGGAAUAUGGGUAGUUACUGUCUUACCAUAAAUAAAUGAAUUUACUAAUUAAGUGAAAAUUCUUAUAAAAAUAUAAUAGACGAGAAGACCCUAGAAAUUUUAUAUAAUAUGUAUUACAUUAAGCUAUUUUGUUGGGGCGACAGAACAACAUUUAACUUGUUUAUUAUUAUAAGACCUUAUUGAAUGGUGUAAUUAAAUUACUCUAGGGAUAACAGCAUAAUACAAAAGAGUUUGUGACCUCGAUGUUGGACUAGGAAUAUUAUUGUUUAGAAGAUAAUAAUAAUGGCUCUGUUCGAGCUAAAUCUCCU